rnacentral:rRNA from 1 species
CGUAGGGAGGCGUAGCGAAGCGAGUCUGAUAAGGGCAACAUAGUUGCUGGGCGUAGACCGAAACCAAGUGAUCUAUCCAUGGCCAGGAUGAAGGUGCGGUAACACGCACUGGAGGUCCGAACCACUAAUUGAAAAUUAGGGGAUGAGCUGUGGAUAGGGGUGAAAGGCUAAACAAACUUGGAAAUAGCUGGUUCUCCCCGAAAACUAUUUAGGUAGUGCCUCGUGCGGACACUUCCGGGGGUAGAGCACUGUAAUCGUUGGGGGGGUCGAUUGCGAUCUACCCCGCGAUAGCAAACUCCGAAUACCGGAAAGUGAUACACGGGAGACAGACGGUGGGUGCUAACGUCCAUCGUCAAGAGGGAAACAACCCAGACCGCCAGCUAAGGUCCCAAAAUCCAUGGCUAAGUGGAAAACGAGGUGGGAAGGCAUAGACAGCUAGGAGGUUGGCUUAGAAGCAGCCACCCUUUAAAGAAAGCGUAAUAGCUCACUAGUCGAGUCGUCCUGCGCGGAAGAUGUAACGGGGC